GUGGGCAUAGCUCAGUGGUAGAGCACAUGCUUAGCAUGCGUGAGGUCCUGGGUUCAAUUCCCAGUACCUCCA
rnacentral:tRNA from 1 species